GAUGAACGCUGGCGGCGUGCCUAAUACAUGCAAGUCGAGCGAACAGACGAGGAGCUUGCUCCUCUGACGUUAGCGGCGGACGGGUGAGUAACACGUGGAUAACCUACCUAUAAGACUGGGAUAACUUCGGGAAACCGGAGCUAAUACCGGAUAAUAUAUUGAACCGCAUGGUUCAAUAGUGAAAGACGGUUUUGCUGUCACUUAUAGAUGGAUCCGCGCCGCAUUAGCUAGUUGGUAAGGUAACGGCUUACCAAGGCAACGAUGCGUAGCCGACCUGAGAGGGUGAUCGGCCACACUGGAACGGAGACACGGUCCAGACUCCUACGGGAGGCAGCAGUAGGGAAUCUUCCGCAUUGGGCGAAAGCCUGACGGAGCAACGCCGCGUGAGUGAUGAAGGUCUUCGGAUCGUAAAACUCUGUUAUUAGGGAAGAACAAAUGUGUAAGUAACUAUGCACGUCUUGACGGUACCUAAUCAGAAAGCCACGGCUAACUACGUG
rnacentral:rRNA from 1 species